GACAGAGGAGCCAAGCGUUGUCCGGAUUGACUGGGCGUAAAGCGCACGCAGGCGGCCGUGCACGUGGGGUGUGAAAGCUGGCGGCUUAACUGCCAGACGCCACCUCAUACGGCACGGCUCGAGCCCGUGAGAGGUCCACGGAAUUGCCGGUGUAGUGGUGAAAUGCGUAGAGAUCGGCAGGAACACCCAGGGGGAAACCAGUGGACUGGCACGGUGCUGACGCUCAGGUGCGAAAGCGUGGGGAGCGAACCGG
rnacentral:rRNA from 2 species